rnacentral:miRNA from 15 species
GGAAGCUCUGACUGGGGGGAAUGAAGCCUGGUCCGAGACCUUCACAUGGAUCUGCGAAAGAAACGAUCGAUGAUGGCCUCGAGCCAGACAACAUUCCCCUCAAAAAUUAAAAGCUUC